rnacentral:ncRNA from 1 species
GACGCGUCAAGUACCGGUUGGAUGGGAGGUUGCCGCCGGGCGAAGGAGUUUUCCGCGGUGUCAUUUCGCAUCCGCUA